rnacentral:rRNA from 1 species
CCCUAACCGUGCAAAGGUAGCAUAAUCAUUUGCCUUUUAAUUGGAGGCUUGUAUGAAUGGUUUGACGAGGGUUAAGCUGUCUCUUUUGAAAUAUAUAGAAAUUAACUUUUAGGUGAAGAGGCCUAAAUUUGGCUGAGGGACAAGAAGACCCUAUUGAGCUUUAGUUUUAUAGUAAAUAUAAGGUUUUUGAUUUGUGCUGUAAGUGUAUUUAUAUAAUAUAAUUUUAUUGUGGAUUUUUAGUUGGGGCGACUAAGGAACAUGCGAAGCUUCCUUUAAAUAGAGGAUACAUUUUUGGUGUCGGCUAAAUAAUAAGUUCUUUCGGGUUAAUAUGAUCCAAUAGGUUAUUGAUUAAAGGAAAAAGUUACCAUAGGGAUAACAGCGUAAUCUUUCUGGAGAGAUCUUAUCGAAAGGAGGGUUUGCGACCUCGAUGUUGGACUAA